AGCUGGUCCAAGUACAGCAGUUAUUUACAGCUAACUGAUCACAAGUUAGAUUUUUUUGUUCCCUCCCACUCCCACUGUUUCACUUGACUAGUCCCCC
rnacentral:Y_RNA from 2 species